GACUUCUAAUGCCAAGUCACACACAAAAAUGCUAUUUCUGCCAGGUUAUCUUGGAAUACUUUGUCUUGGAAUUCAGCCCUCAUGCUGUGAAGAAGUGCAAGCGGACUACGGGGAGGCUGAUGAGGCAAGGAACCAAGGCCCCUGGUCUGCAGCUCCAGCUGAGCUUGCAGCUGCCAGCCUGCAUGAGCUCUCCAGCCUGUGAGAGAGCCAUCCUGACAGAGGGUUACCCUCAGUCAAGUAGCACUAGAUGUGGAGAAGAGACAAGUCAUCCCUGCUUACAAGGCCUACUUACACUGCAGAUUUAUAAGGGAAACUGAGGUACAGAGGAGGGGAAGAGCCAUGAUUGACUUCAUGCAACUCAUCAGGGAGGGCACCCAGAUUUACACGUGGAUCUGUGUCACUACAAAGCAGUGCCCUUGACUUAACACUCCAUCACUUUCCAUACAAGCUUCAAACUGAACUCCACCUUCAUUAGCUUGGUGAGCGCAGACCGCUGAACUCUUCUAACAUCUGUCUUAGAGGUUAUGUGUUGGCUGCUGCGUUCAGAGCUAUCCUAAAAGUAACUGAAACAAGGGAUUUUUGACUCCAUGGCUAAACAGUUUCUGGGGAGCAGACCUUGAUUCUACCAUUACUUAGAAAACAAAUCAAAUUAGAGUCAGACUAGUGAUGUUGUCAGAACUUUUCAAACAUAAAGACCCAUGAAUGGACAUGUACACUUGGGAUCAAAAGCACUCUCCUCUUCCAAACAGCAGUCUACACUUGGCCUUUUGAGAGGCUGAGCUAUUGCCAAGGACUAUUUAGAUGGAAGAUUUGAUUGUUGGUCAAGGAGACACUGAAGAAGAGAUAAGAUGGUGUACUGGAAUGGAAGGAAGGCUCUGGACAUCAGAACUUUGGGCCACUGUACUGCUGUGUAAAUUUGCGAAACCUACUUAAUCCUUAUGGACUGUUUCCUCAUCUGGAAAAUGAGUUAAAUGAGAUCCAUUUUAUAAAAUUGUUGUAAUGAUUAUAUAAGUAAACACAUAGUAAUAUUAUUUGAUUUUAUUAUUAUUAUUAUGACUUGUCACUCAAAGCAUUUAGCUUUGGUGUCUCUAAUAUUCAGUACUCACAUUUAUGUUCAAAUUUGGAUGCUAGGUAGAAAUGAAGACUUUGUAUCUGCCACCAGAGAAGGCUAUUUAUUAUUUGUCAUUGCCUGUCACGAACUCACAAAGAUAGUAUUUGCCUAUCCAAAGGUAUCUAAUUCCUCAGUUUCUUAUGUGACUAUAAAGGGGCCUACUUUGAUCUUACCAUGAACUCAAAUCCUUUCGAAAUUUCAAUUUGUC
rnacentral:lncRNA from 1 species